AAAACGGUCCUUUUCAGGACCACCAAUUUUAUUUAACAUACGACUG
rfam:Acyrthosiphon pisum strain LSR1 Contig1024490, whole genome shotgun sequence.